UACGGAGGGUGCAAGCGUUAUCCGGAUUUACUGGGUUUAAAGGGUGCGUAGGUGGGUUGGUAAGUCAGUGGUGAAAUACUUUCGCUUAACGAAGGAACUGCCAUUGAUACUAUCAAUCUUGAAUGUAGUGGAGGUAGGCGGAAUGCGUCAUGUAGCGGUGAAAUGCUUAGAUAUGACGCAGAACACCAAUUGCGAAGGCAGCUUGCUCCACUACUAUUGACACUGAGGCACGAAAGCGUGGGGAUCAAACAGG
rnacentral:rRNA from 1 species